UACGAAGGGGGCUAGCGUUGCUCGGAAUCACUGGGCGUAAAGCGCGCGUAGGCGGGCCGUUAAGUCGGGGGUGAAAGCCUGGGGCUCAACCUCAGAAUUGCCUUCGAUACUGGCGGCCUGGAGCAUGAUAGAGGCGAGUGGAAUUCCGAGUGUAGAGGUGAAAUUCGUAGAUAUUCGGAGGAACACCAGUGGCGAAGGCGACUCACUGGAUCAUUGCUGACGCUGAGGAGCGAAAGCGUGGGUAGCAAACAGG
rnacentral:rRNA from 1 species